AAUGGGAGCAAUGUAAGCCGCCAUGGCGACAUUACCUCCAAGAAAAAAUCCAACACCAACGAAAAUAUCGAAGGAACACUUAACUCCACUUCAGAUACUCCUCCAACUUGGAUUUCCAAGGCACAGGGCAGAAAAAGCCCUAGCAGCCACAGGUCACCGUGGAGUACAACUGGCGUCGGACUGGCUCCUGGCGCACGUCCGAGAUCCGACUCUGGACACAGAAGAACCCCGAGAGUAUAUUCUGUACUUGUGCCCGACAGGACUCCUCGCCGAGAAGCUCGCUAAAUUCUGGGUGGAGUCCCGAGAGUUAGAAUGGAACAAAGCCCACAACUACCUCCCACACAUCACCUUAACCCGUUUCUUCAAGGUCCCCGAUGACUCUGCAGAGCAAGUCUCCAACGCCCUGGAGACUCUCCUCCAGGGUGAAUCCCCCGAGACCCUGGACUUCGACACGUACAUCUCCCCGAACUUCAUGGGACUAUUUGUGGAGGACAAGCAGGUGAAAUGGCUGGAUACACUAGCAGUUCGCUUUGUCAGCAAGCUCUCCACCCUGGGGAUCAACGCCGAGGCCCACACCAACUCUCUGCACAUAUCCCUGGCUUAUAGAUUCACCAGUAAUCUCUUUCAACCCCUGAGAUCGAUGGUGGAGAGAUUGGGAAUGAAUUCCACGUCAAAUUGGGAGCUGAGGCUCUACUCCAGGGACUCUCGACUCCGAGACGCUCACGUCCACAAAGUCACUCAUGCCCACGUCCCGAGGGAGCACGAUGAGUUGGAAUUACGACCUGGGGAUUUCAUUUACCUGUCAGAGGGUGCAUGCAGUGCCUCGAUCGAUGGAUGGGUCGAGGGUGUGUCCUGGUUGACUGGAACAUCAGGUUAUCUCCCCUUAAAUUAUACCGAGAGGACUGCAGAGACUGACUCCUGGACACUCCACACAACUGUUCAGAUAAAUGGAGGUAGUGAUCACGAUCCAGAGAUUCCCAGGAGUAGAAAACCCCCGGUGCUGUCUUCCUCGGAGUCGAUUGACACACCUGAUGGUGUUGGAACUGACAGUGAACCCCUGGAGGGACUGGGAGCUCCCUCCACCCACGCCAGACAGAUUUACAUCUGCAGACACGGGGAGAGGGUGGACUUCACCUUUGGUGCCUGGAUUCCUUACUGCUUCGAGGCCAAUGGCAGCUACAUCAGACGCGAUCUCAACAUGCCUAGAGAAAUACCACCGAGAAAUAUUCAGGAAUUUCAAAGUGACAGCCCCUUGACGACCCUGGGGGAGAUGCAGGCAAGUCUAGUGGGUGAAGCCAUGAAGUCGUCAGCUGUGAAGAUCGAUGUGGCCUUCACAUCGCCAUCACUCCGAUGUGUUCAGACGUUAUCAAAAAUUCUCAAAGGUCUGGGGUCUAGUGUCCAGAUGAAGGUGGAGCCUGGAUUGAUCGAGUGGCUUGCCUGGUACCCUAAUGGCUUACCUAACUGGAUGAAUAAUGAAGAGUUGAGCAAUGCUGGAUUCAAUGUCGAUAGGAGUUAUGAGGCUAUUGUCACAACUGAUCAACUCCCUCAGAGGGAGAAUGCUGCACAGUAUUACGAGAGGAGUUAUGAACUCAUCAAGAGAAUCAUCGAGAGCACUGUUGGUAAUAUUCUAAUUGUUGCUCACGCUGCUUCCCUCGCUGCCUGCACCAGGCAACUGACUGGAGGUAGAAUUCCAUCAGCUGCUGAGGUCACCAGACUCGUCCAGAGGGUACCAUAUCUCGCCUGUCUCACUGCACAGGAGGAGAUCGAUGGAUGGCAGCUGCAUCCACCACCAUUUCCACCCAUCACUCAUUCAAGUAAUAGUAGAUUCGAUUGGAAGAUUCUGAUUUAAAUCCCUCCUAAUAAAUGAGGGACCAGGAGUUACUAAAAAAUAUCCGGAGAAAUAAAUUAAUUUGGGGUGGAUCUGGACAAUAUCAGAAUUUUUUGUCGCCCUGGAAAUUCUCGAAACAAUUCCAUGGAUAUCAACGUUUAAAUUUGGUUACUGAGUUACAAAGACUGCUGCGAUACAAUGAAUUUUAUAAAUGUUAUUACUGUGUAUAGUAUAUCAGAGGUGUUAUCCUACUUUAAUAAGAAAAGUAAUGUUCAUCGUCCAAUCACUAUCUGUCUUUCAAAUUUGAGAACGCAAGUUCACAGAUUACCACGAAUAUCUCGAUGUUUCCUCGUGAAUGAGUGUUUUAGAGAUUUACUGGAUGUGAAUUACACCACAGGGGCAACAAUCGUAUUUAUUAUUAUUUAACUGGUGUAUUUGACUGGCGGAUGGUAGUGGAGUAUAUUUUUUAUAAUUAAUUUAUUCGUUAUUUUACAGGUAUUUAAUGAACAACGAUCUUUCAAUAAAUUGCAUGUCUUCCAACGUAAGAUCAAUUAUUUAGGGAUAUGAUAGCCUAUUGUUAUUAAAUUGUGGAGAAGAUGUCAAUCUUAUUGAAGUUUUAAAUAAAUGAAUUUUUUGAUGGGUUUCCAAUCACAAGACAUUGAAGUGAUUUUUUUUUUGUUUAUGGAAAUGAAAUUAUUUCAAAAUAAGAUUGUUUUACGUUUUUUUCCCGCGAUAUUUAAUCACGUGAUAUCGACAGCCACGCCACUAAAAAAGUUUGACUCUGACGUGGCCCGGAUGACGGCUGCAGGGAAUUCAUUCUCCAUUCGAUUCCAAAAACUCAACAAAAAUUGUAAAACAAUGAUUUAAUUAUCAUCAGUCAAUUCCAAAAGUGUCUAGUGUAUAGUUAUCGUCAAAUAACUCACCAUCAGUGCUUGAAAUCACGAAUUAAAGAGGGCGGAGCUCCUGUGUUGACAGACGAUGUAAGUCUUCAAGUAUUUAUGGAACACCUGAAGAAAUUGGCUGUGUCCUCAACUGCCUG